rnacentral:lncRNA from 1 species
AUAGAUGAUGAGAGGAAUACCCCCACUAAACUGAGCAGCCCGAGAGGGUUCACUUCGAGAGGAUAUUGACCGACUAUUUGAAAUGCUGGAGAGACUCAUCGCUGCCCAGCAGGCCCGGGAGGAAAGAAGGGAGAUACUUGACCCUCCUCCACUGCCCCAGUUUGAGCCACUCCUGUAGCGAGAGGAUCCUGAGCCAUCUCGGUACAAUUAUGCUCCUCCACAAUAUCACCCGAAACCACCAUAGUACAAUCCAGUGCCUUUACCAUAUCAUCUAGUACCACCACAAGGCCAUCCGGUCCCUCUCCAGCACAAUACAACCCCUCUUCCAAGGGACCCAGUUUCACCCAUGAUGUACCCAGACUACAUUGAGAGGUAUAA